rnacentral:rRNA from 1 species
AUUGAACGCUGGCGGCAUGCCUAACACAUGCAAGUCGAACGGCAGCAUGCUCUGUAGCAAUACAGAGUGAUGGCGAGUGGCGGACGGGUGAGUAACGCGUAGGAAUCUUCCCUAAAGUGGGGGAUAACUCAGCGAAAGCUGAGCUAAUACCGCAUAAUCUCUUCGGAGUAAAGCAGGGGACCUUCGGGCCUUGCGCUUUAGGAUGAGCCUGCGUAAGAUUAGCUAGUUGGUGGGGUAAAGGCCUACCAAGGCUACGAUCUUUAGCUGGUCUGAGAGGACGACCAGCCACAUUGGGACUGAGACACGGCCCAAACUCCUACGGGAGGCUG